CCUCAGCUCCUAAGUCCUUUUAAUUUGACGGGCCACGCCCUGUGCGACAUCACCCCAACUCUAUUUACCUGCGGAGUCAGAGUGCCACUCCCUCCUCCAUUCCCCACCUGUGGCUGUUGCAUGCUCUGUUGGCGUCUCGUUUAAAAAAAAAGCUACUGGAUCUUCCUAAAGAUCUAAUAUUAUAAGCUGUCUUUUGGACUCGCUUCUCUCUCACAACUUGGGCCAAACCGCUCAUGUUGUCUUUCAUUAAUACCACUACACAGACGGAGAUCAACUUGUCAUCCCUUCAACGGUCAGGUUUUUUUUUUAUGCCAGAAAAAGGACAUCACCCUCACUACAAUCUGGUUCACAACAACUUUUU